rnacentral:rRNA from 1 species
CAGCCGCCGCGGGAAUACGUAGGUGGCAAGCGUUGUCCGGAAUUAUUGGGCGUAAAGGGCUCGCAGGCGGUUUCUUAAGUCUGAUGUGAAAGCCCCCGGCUCAACCGGGGAGGGUCAUUGGAAACUGGGAAACUUGAGUGCAGAAGAGGAGAGUGGAACUCCACGUGUAGCGGUGAAAUGCGUAGAGAUGUGGAGGAACACCAGUGGCGAAGGCGACUCUCUGGUCUGUAACUGACGCUGAGGGGCGAGAGCGUGGGGAGCGAACAGGAUUAGAUACCCCGGUAGUCCCUGUCUCUUAUAC